AGGGUUUGAUUAUGGCUCAGGAUGAACGCUGGCUACAGGCUUAACACAUGCAAGUCGAGGGGAAACGAUAUUGAAAGCUUGCUUUCGAUAGGCGUCGACCGGCGCACGGGUGAGUAACGCGUAUCCAACCUGCCCAUAACUAAGGGAUAAUCCGUAGAAAUGCGGUCUAAUACCUUAUGUGAUCCGAGGAAGACAUCUGAUUUGGAUUAAAGAUUUAUCGGUUAUGGAUGGGGAUGCGUCUGAUUAGAUUGUUGGCGGGGCAACGGCCCACCAAGUCUGCGAUCAGUAGGGGUUCUGAGAGGAAGGUCCCCCACAUUGGAACUGAGACACGGUCCAA
rnacentral:rRNA from 1 species